AUUGAACGCUGGCGGCAGGCCUAACACAUGCAAGUCGAACGAGUGGCGGACGGGUGAGUAAUGUCUGGGAAACUGCCUGAUGGAGGGGGAUAACUACUGGAAACGGUAGCUAAUACCGCAUACCAUCGGAUGGGCCCAGAUGGGAUUAGCUAGUAGGUGGGGUAACGGCUCACCUAGGCGACGAUCCCUAGCUGGUCUGAGAGGAUGACCAGCACCACUGGAACUGAGACACGGGACAGAGUCGUACGGUAGGCAGUAGUGGGGAAUAUUGCACAAUGGACGAAAGUCUGAGGCAGCGACGCCGCGUGGGGGAUGACGGCCUUCGGGUUGGAAACGCCUUUCACCUUCGACGCGGUAGAUGGAGAAGAAGCACCGGCUAACUACGUGCCAGCAGCCGCGGUAAUUC
rnacentral:rRNA from 1 species